UGAGUACGAGCCGCUACGGCAGCGAAGUGGGUGAUGUCAAGCUUCCAAGAAAAGCCCUAUACCCGUUAAGGCAUGACGGCCUGUACCCGAAACCGACACAGGUGGGGUGGUAGAGAAUACCGAGGGGCGCGAGGUAACUCUCUCUAAGGAACUCGGCAAAAUGGCCCCGUAACUUCGGGAGAAGGGGUGCCACCGCAAGGUGGUCGCAGUGAAGAGGCCCAGGCGACUGUUUACCAAAAACACAGGUCUCCGCUAAGUCGCAAGACGAUGUAUGGGGGCUGACGCCUGCCCAGUGCCGGAAGGUUAAGGAAGCUGGUCAGCGUAAGCGAAGCUGGCGACUGAAGCCCCGGUGAACGGCGGCCGUAACUAUAACGGUCCUAAGGUAGCGAAAUUCCUUGUCGGGUAAGUUCCGACCCGCACGAAAGGCGUAACGAUCUGGGCGCUGUCUCGGAGAGAGGCUCGGCGAAAUAGAAUUGUCUGUGAAGAUGCGGACUACGUGCACCCGGACAGAAAGACCCUAUGAAGCUUUACUGUAGCUUGGUAUUGUGCCCGGGCUCUGAAUGCGCAGGAUAGGUGGGAGGCUUUGAUCCAUUGCUUGCGGGUGAUGGUGAGCCAACGGUGAGAUACCACUCUUUCAGAGCUAGGGUUCUAACGGUCACCCGUUAUCCGGGGACCGGACAGUAUCAGGUGGGCAGUUUGACUGGGGCGGUCGCCUCCUAAGAGGUAACGGAGGCGCGCAAAGGUUCCCUCAGGCUGGUUGGAAAUCAGCCGACGAGUGUAAAGGCAGAAGGGAGCUUGACUGUGAGACCUACAAGUCGAACAGGGACGAAAGUCGGCCUUAGUGAUCCGACGGUUCUGAGUGGAAGGGCCGUCGCUCAACGGAUAAAAGUUACUCUAGGAUAACAGGCUGAUCUCCCCCAAGAGUUCACAUCGACGGGGAGGUUUGGCACCUCGAUGUCGGCUCAUCGCAACCUGGGGCUGAAGUCGGUCCCAAGGGUUGGGCUGUUCGCCCAUUAAAGCGGUACGCGAGCUGGGUUCAGAACGUCGUGAGACAGUUCGGUCCAUAUCCGGUGCAUGCGCAGGAAUAUUGAGAGGAUUUCUCCCUAGUACGAGAGGACCGGGAGGAACGCACCUCUGGUGUACCAGUUAUCGUGCCAACGGUAAACGCUGGGUAGCCAAGUGCGGUGAGGAUAACCGCUGAAAGCAUCUAAGUGGGAAGCCCACCUCAAGAUGAGUAUUCCCAUGGCGUUAGCCAGUAAGGUCACGGGCAGAACACCCGUUGAUAGGCUCUACGUGGAAGCUUGGUAACAGGUGAAGCGGAGGAGUACUAAUAGACCGAGGGCUUGACC
rnacentral:rRNA from 1 species